UCCUUUGACGUUAGCGGCGGACGGGUGAGUAACACGUGGAUAACCUACCUAUAAGACUGGGAUAACUUCGGGAAACCGGAGCUAAUACCGGAUAACAUAUUGAACCGCAUGGUUCAAUAGUGAAAGGCGGCUUUGCUGUCACUUAUAGAUGGAUCCGCGCCGUAUUAGCUAGUUGGUAAGGUAACGGCUUACCAAGGCAACGAUACGUAGCCGACCUGAGAGGGUGAUCGGCCACACUGGAACUGAGACACGGUCCAGACUCCUACGGGAGGCAGCAGUGGUCA
rnacentral:rRNA from 1 species